UCAAAUUCGUCCAAGACCAAGUGGAAACCCAUAAUAAAUCUAAGUCUACCCAGGUCCCUCUCCUUCGCGAUCGCAAAAAAAGGCCUUGCAAUCGCGAAGAGUAAUUACCCAACUGCCCAAAUUCUCCCUACGCAUUUGCGAUCACAAGGACGCGAUCGCAAUGAACAAACUUUCCUGCCUUCUGUUUUCACGAUGACACAGUUGUGUUCGUGUAAGCUAUCUGCCCUUCAGCCCAUCCCACUCCCAACCUUCUUCGUGUUCAUGAUCAGGACUAUGCGUUUGUGUUCCUGAAGAGUAAAGUCCAGGGCCCUUCACCAGCCUUCUUCGCGAUCGCGAGAUAACCUGCAUGAUCGCGAAGCUGACCAGGACACCAGAAAUUUCAGCCAAGUUCAAUCAUGCUCCGAGUGAUCUGAAACACGUCCGAGUCAUCCGGGGCCCGUCCAAAUGCACCAACAAGUCCAUAAAUAUAUUACGGACUUACUGGAAGCCUCGCAACACAUGAAACAAAGCCGGAAUCAAGAAUCACACCUCAAAACCUGUUUAGUCAACUUUUAAGCUUCAAACUCAUAUAAACAAAUUUUGAACGCGAUGAAACAUACAUAGAUAACUCGAAAUAACGCCAAAUUUUACACACAACUUGUGAAUCACAAUACAAAUUUAUUUCAAGGCUCGGAAUCUCAAAAAGACAUUGAUACAAAAACUCCCUUCAAGUCAAACUUAGGAAAUUCUAAUACCUUCAAUGUGACAACUUUCAGCAAUAACCACUGAAAUGCUCUUGGUCCACCGAAACGUGAUCCGAACAUACGUCUAAGUCAAAAAAUCAUCAGACGAACCUACUGGAAACUUCAAAUUCGGGUUCCAAGGUCGUUUAUUAAAAAUGCUAACUCAAGUUAAACUUGGUCACCUUAGGCCACUAUUAUGGAAUUAAGUAUUCCAAAUUCACCCCGAACUCUAUCAAAACUUCGGAAACCACGAUUAAAAAAAGUAUGAGAAAAUUACAUACUCGUAUUGCAAGCUAAAUAUUCGCAAAACAACUCUUUCAUUUCGUAUACUAAGAGGGUAUAUAGUUGUAUGGGGUCGUUCCAACAAUUGCCUAUAACUAUAAAAACUAUUAAUACACAUAAUUUAUGUCCAUCAGCACACAAAAAUUCCGGCAUUAUUGCAACUCAUAUUGAUACAGAUAAUCUUAUAAUAUAUAGAAUUCACUUAAAAUGCAACUAUAACAACCAAAAAAAUAUUCAAACUACCAUAUGAUACCAAUAUGGUAUUUAACUAUACCAACAUGGUAUACAGGUUUACUAGUUAAUUUCCUGCAACUAUAAGACUAUACUACUAUUACAUAAUACAUAUGCAUAAAGAGAAAAAUAAAAAAAAUAGUGUACCACAUAUUAAAAUAAUAAGGUAUUUCAAGAUAUUAUAAAAUAUUACUAUUGUUAAAAGAAAAUCAAAUAUUGUACCAAUUAAAUACAGCUAAUACAACCAAAAAAUAAUUCAACUAGCAUAUGAUACCAAUAUAGUAUAUAGCUAUACUAAUAGGGCAUAUAUUUGGAAUGAAUUGUAUACUAAAAUUGUAUAUUUGUAUACUAUUUAGGUAUACGAUACAAAUUCGUCUUCUUCUGAGGUUCAACUAUAUUUCAACCCAAAUUUCUAAAAUUUACUACAAAAUCUCCACCAAAUUGAUUAAAACUUUAGUUAGAACCUUCAAUCAACUUUCCAAAUACCUUUUGCAUGAUGGGUCAGCGAGGAAAUGGGAACAGCGGCUUAAGCCAUUAGGUGUAGGCGCUUUCCAGAGGUGGAAUCUUCUAGUUCUUCCUAUUUGACCCGAAACCGAUCGAUCUAGCCAUGAGCAGGUUGAAGAGAGCUCUAACAGGCCUUGGAGGACCGAACCUAAUACGUACAGGAUCGGAUCAAACAUUUAAAAACUCAAACAAACCAAGUUAUGGGUUUCAAACAUCAAGGUCCGUCAAUGGUGAAUUUAAAUUUUUGUAAAAAAAUUAACAUCAAAGAACAAUAUUAGCUAUAUUUAACUGGAGAUCAAUGGAGUAGUGCUGGAUCGAUUUGAUUCUUGCUGCAAUGCUGGAUCAAUUUGAUUCAGCACACCUGCUUAUAAUAACAC
rnacentral:lncRNA from 1 species